CCUACGGGCGGCUGCAGUGGGGAAUAUUGCACAAUGGGCGCAAGCCUGAUGCAGCCAUGCCGCGUGUGUGAAGAAGGCCUUCGGGUUGUAAAGCACUUUCAGCGGGGAGGAAGGCGGUGAGGUUAAUAACCUCAUCGAUUGACGUUACCCGCAGAAGAAGCACCGGCUAACUCCGUGCCAGCAGCCGCGGUAAUACGGAGGGUGCAAGCGUUAAUCGGAAUUACUGGGCGUAAAGCGCACGCAGGCGGUCUGUCUAGUCGGAUGUGAAAUCCCCGGGCUCAACCUGGGAACUGCAUUCGAAACUGGCAGGCUAGAGUCUUGUAGAGGGGGGUAAAAUUCCAGGUGUAGCGGUGAAAUGCGUAGAGAUCUGGAGGAAUACCGGUGGCGAAGGCGGCCCCCUGGACAAAGACUGACGCUCAGGUGCGAAAGCGUGGGGAGCAAACAGGAUUAGAUACCCCAGUAGUC
rnacentral:rRNA from 1 species